rnacentral:lncRNA from 1 species
CUGGUCUACGUCUGUACUUUUCUUUACCUCUACCUGGCCUUUACCACAAGGUCCAGAAGAGCUGUUUGCUGCUGUGGCACUGCCCUCGCUUAGCACUUCAGCUUCUGGCUGGGGUCUCACUUUGGGUGUCGUGCAGCAAGCAUCAAGUGUCCCACGGCCAGAAGCUGGGCUCUGCUUAGCAGCAGCAGAGCAUGGUGGCACGGUAGCUGGCACGGUCUUGCGCACCUUGUGGUGCACCCACACACCACCAACAAGUGCAGGAGCAUAUGCAGGCCACUCCUUCAUGCUAUUCAUUGCUACAUGAGCUUUCAUUGAUGCAGCUGUGCUCUGGUCUACGUCUGUACUUUUCUUUACCUCUACC